rnacentral:rRNA from 1 species
GAUGAACGCUGGCGGCGUGCCUAAUACAUGCAAGUCGAGCGAACGGACGAGAAGCUUGCUUCUCUGAUGUUAGCGGCGGACGGGUGAGUAACACGUGGAUAACCUACCUAUAAGACUGGGAUAACUUCGGGAAACCGGAGCUAAUACCGGAUAAUAUUUUGAACCGCAUGGUUCAAAAGUGAAAGACGGUCUUGCUGUCACUUAUAGAUGGAUCCGCGCUGCAUUAGCUAGUUGGUAAGGUAACGGCUUACCAAGGCAACGAUGCAUAGCCGACCUGAGAGGGUGAUCGGCCACACUGGAACUGAGACACGGUCCAGACUCCUACGGGAGGCAGCAGUAGGGAAUCUUCCGCAAUGGGCGAAAGCCUGACGGAGCAACGCCGCGUGAGUGAUGAAGGUCUUCGGAUCGUAAAACUCUGUUAUUAGGGAAGAACAUAUGUGUAAGUAACUGUGCACAUCUUGACGGUACCUAAUCAGAAAGCCACGGCUAACUACGUGCCAGCAGCCGCGGUAAUACGUAGGUGGCAAGCGUUAUCCGGAAUUAUUGGGCGUAAAGCGCGCGUAGGCGGUUUUUUAAGUCUGAUGUGAAAGCCCACGGCUCAACCGUGGAGGGUCAUUGGAAACUGGAAAACUUGAGUGCAGAAGAGGAAAGUGGAAUUCCAUGUGUAGCGGUGAAAUGCGCGGAGAUAUGGAGGAACACCAGUGGCGGAGGCGACUUUCUGGUCUGUAACUGACGCUGAUGUGCGAAAGCGUGGGGAUCAAACAGGAUUAGAUACCCUGGUAGUCCACGCCGUAAACGAUGAGUGCUAAGUGUUAGGGGGUUUCCGCCCCUUAGUGCUGCAGCUAACGCAUUAAGCACUCCGCCUGGGGAGUACGACCGCAAGGUUGAAACUCAAAGGAAUUGACGGGGACCCGCACAAGCGGUGGAGCAUGUGGUUUAAUUCGAAGCAACGCGAAGAACCUUACCAAAUCUUGACAUCCUUUGACAACUCUAGAGAUAGAGCUUUCCCCUUCGGGGGACAAAGUGACAGGUGGUGCAUGGUUGUCGUCAGCUCGUGUCGUGAGAUGUUGGGUUAAGUCCCGCAACGAGCGCAACCCUUAAGCUUAGUUGCCAUCAUUAAGUUGGGCACUCUAAGUUGACUGCCGGUGACAAACCGGAGGAAGGUGGGGAUGACGUCAAAUCAUCAUGCCCCUUAUGAUUUGGGCUACACACGUGCUACAAUGGACAAUACAAAGGGCAGCGAAACCGCGAGGUCAAGCAAAUCCCAUAAAGUUGUUCUCAGUUCGGAUUGUAGUCUGCAACUCGACUACAUGAAGCUGGAAUCGCUAGUAAUCGUAGAUCAGCAUGCUACGGUGAAUACGUUCCCGGGUCU